rnacentral:lncRNA from 1 species
GGGGUAAAAAUUGGAGAUAGGGAUAAUGGUGAGGUGGGGGUGUGCCGGGUCGAGGUGGAUUUCCCCUCGUCAAAAAUGGGGGGUGGGGAUUAUUGAGAGAUGGGGGCGAGGACGUUCGCCCUGUUUACUUAAUAUAUUAUAUAUCAGGGGUGUUCGGUCUUAGCAUAAACAGGUUCCACUUUACAAUCGAAAACUGAAUUAGAAUGAAUCGGUUAUUAAUUUGUGGAAAAAUGAAACUAGUCAUUUGAUCCUGAAACCAGAUCGGUCCGGUUUCUGAGUGGGUUGAAGGAACCGGUGGUGUUGUAGGUCUACUUCCAAAGCCAUUCUGGUUUGGAGCCAGUUGAAGAAAGCGAGAGAUAUUUGAGAGUUUGUCUCAAUUUUGCAUUGGAUUCAAAGGAAGAGAGAUGGGUUUGAGUGAGAAGCGAGAUCGAGGGUUUCAAGAACAGGGAUCUUGGCUCGCCUCUUGAGGAGAGUGAAGAUCAUCAGGUCGUCCUUGUCUCGUGAAGUUGGCGUGGCCGAUGAAAUUGUCGUUGUCAGAGUCGAUAUCAUCCAUCAUGCGGGUGAUCUCAAUAGGGGGAGGAGGCCAAAAACAGAGCAAGAGAGAGAGAGGCGAGAGUCGAGGCUUGAGGUGAGAUGACGAGAGGGAGGCGUGGAGGCUACGAGGGGCUGCGAGAGAUUGAGAGUGACUGACCCGUGAGUUGAAGACUGAUGAGGGUUUGUGAAGAAUGGAUUAGGAUUUUCAGGCUUGGGAAAGAGGCGUGUGCGAGG